UACAGAGGGGGGCAAGCGUUGUUCGGAAUUACUGGCGUAAAGGGCGCGUAGGCGGCCUUCUAAGUCGAACGUGAAAUCCCCCGGGCUCAACCCGGGAACUGCGUCCGAUACUGGAAGGCUUGAAUCCGGGAGAGGGAUGCGGAAUUCCAGGUGUAGCGGUGAAAUGCGUAGAUAUCUGGGGGGAACACCGGUGGCGAAGGCGGCAUCCUGGACCGGUAUUGACGCUGAGGCGCGAAAGCCAGGGGAGCAAACGGG
rnacentral:rRNA from 1 species